GUCCUCUCGUGCAUUCCWCUUCAAUUGUUGGCACAAGAGCUUGUUUUGCCUUGGCCGAGACGUUGGUUUCCUGUGCUGCGUACCUACAUCGAUGGAAUUYGUUGGGCAAUCUAUACCUAGUUCUCCUAUCGCUGCCUGUUUAGACUGUGCGGCUUCGGGUGAACCUCAAAGCGAAAUUCGUGUUCCGAUUUGCAUAGAAAUUGCUAUGCAGUCCCGGCCCAUGACCGUAGCUUGACUUCGGGAAUGCAGAAAACACUGCGGGCGAGGGGUCUUCGACCUCUCUAUUUGCCCACAAAUUGGCAUUACAUGCCCCAUUCGAUUGACGCUCGGUGUCGCAUGGAUGUUUUACAUCUUGUGGCUCGAUGUCCCUAGGAAUGCUACCUGGUUGAUCCUGCCAGUAGUCAUAUGCUUGUCUCAAAGA
rnacentral:misc_RNA from 1 species